AGAGAGGAAACAGUUGGAUCGAAUGGGAUAGGUGAAGCGGCAACAUCAAUGAUCUUCAGGGGUGUUUGGCUGGUUAACUCGACGGGAAAGAGGGAUGGAGGGAAUAGCUGAUAUUCGUUUCCUCCCCUCCACUGAUCAGAUAUAGAUGGUGUGUUUGGUUGGUUCAUUUGAUAGGGAAGUGAAGGAGAAGAAGAACAACAACAAAACCUUAAGGUGUUUUGGGUGUUACUGUGAAACCCGUGGGGAAGAAGAAAGAUCGAAAGAGUGUUGUUGCCGUCUUGAAUGAGUCACUGGCAGCAGUUGAAGGACAAACAGGAGAAAUAUUUCCGUGUGAAUUUGUUUAAGUUGAAGGUUAGACUCAUCAAUUUGAGGAGUACAAAAAUUGAUAGUGUACUUGUUUGGAAAGCUGUCAAUUGAAAGAGUAAAGAAUAUAAAGAAUAUAAGUUUCAUUUCAGUAUAAUGUAUUUGUUUCUUUAUGAAAUGUGUAAAAUUUGUAAUUAACAAAUUUCCAUGUGUUUUAUUUGGUUUGAAUUUAAAAGCAAUGCAAUACCUUAAUUAUUUAUG